rnacentral:rRNA from 1 species
GACGAACGCUGGCGGCGUGCCUAAUACAUGCAAGUCGAGCGCAGGAAAUCAUCCGAACCCUUCGGGGGGACGUUGAUGGAAUGAGCGGCGGACGGGUGAGUAACACGUAAAGAACCUGCCCUCAGGUCUGGGAUAACCACGAGAAAUCGGGGCUAAUACCGGAUGGGUCAUCGGACCGCAUGGUCCGAGGAUGAAAGGCGCUUCGGCGUCGCCUGGGGAUGGCUUUGCGGUGCAUUAGCUAGUUGGUGGGGUAAUGGCCCACCAAGGCGACGAGGCAUAGCCGACCUGAGAGGGUGAUCGGCCACACUGGGACUGAGACACGGCCCAGACUCCUACGGGAGGCAGCAGUAGGGAAUCUUCCACAAUGGACGAAAGUCUGAUGGAGCAACGCCGCGUGAACGAUGAAGGCCUUCGGGUCGUAAAGUUCUGUUGUAAGGGAAGAACAAGUGCCGCAGGCAAUGGCGGCACCUUGACGGUACCUUGCGAGAAAGCCACGGCUAACUACGUGCCAGCCGCCGCGGUAAAAC